UACGGGGGGGGCAAGCGUUGUUCGGAAUUACUGGGCGUAAAGGGCUCGUAGGCGGCCAACUAAGUCAGACGUGAAAUCCCUCGGCUUAACCGGGGAACUGCAUCUGAUACUGGAUGGCUUGAGUUCGGGAGAGGGAUGCGGAAUUCCAGGUGUAGCGGUGAAAUGCGUAGAUAUCUGGAGGAACACCGGUGGCGAAGGCGGCAUCCUGGACCGACACUGACGCUCAUGCACGAAAGCGUGGGGAGCAAACAGG
rnacentral:rRNA from 1 species